rnacentral:lncRNA from 1 species
CAUAACAACUGCGUUUAUUUCCAUAAUUCCCCAUUUGAAUGGCCUUUUCUUUUUGCUUAGACAAUGCCUACGCCUAGCCACAGCAGCUCCCUCAUGCAGACUCCGCAAGCCAAGAGGCCGUGGAGGCAAAUGCAGGCAGCCAGCAUACCUCGAACAGCCACCUUGACUGCAGGUGUGUCACCCUAGUUGCCAAGGAAGCAUUUGAGGGAAAACGAGAGGCAAUGUGAACAGCCACUUCUCCAUGUAAACGAUACUCUUUCUCUCGAAUGACUCCUACGCCUCACCACGCCAGCUCACUUCUGCAGACUCCACCAAUAAAGAUGCCGCGGAGGCACGUGCAGGUCAGAGGCAAGAAGCAGUGGCACCGGUGUCGACAUUCACCCAAUUUCUUUUUCUUACGCCGAGGCAGCCAGCACACCUCGAAAAGCCACCUCGACUGCGGGUGUAUCAGCAGAUUCCUGUUGCACAUAUGCUCAUAAUAAACUUCAGUAAACUUGAACUUGAUAAUAAACUUAAA